rnacentral:tRNA from 1 species
GCGGAAGUAGCUCAAUUGGUAGAGCUUUAGCCUUCCAAGCUAAAGGUUGCGGGUUCGAGCCCCGUCUUCCGCUCCA